GGGAAGUCGCUCGCUGGCUGCAGUCGGGACUUCUGGAAGCCCCCGUCCAUCUUUGGUUUGGUUCUCAGGGUGCGCUCCCCUGGUCCGCUGGGAGAAGUGAAUGCAGCCUGGAUACCUUGUGAUCUGGAUUAUAUCUCCUCUAGAGGAUUUCUCUGUGUAGCCCUAACUGUCCUGGAAAUCUUUCUGUGGAGCAGGCUAGCCCUAAACUCACUGAGAUCUGCCUACUUCUGCCUCCUGAGUGCUGGGAUUAAAGACACAGCCACUGGAAUCCCUGGGAGUUACAGAAAACUGAAAACCACCAUGUGGAUGCUAGGAGUUGAACCUGGGUCCUCUGGAAGAGCAGCCACUGCUCUUAACCACUGAGUCAUCUCUGCAGACCCACCCUGGUUUCUUUAGGGAACAGCAGAAUCUUGUUACUUCCUCCCUGACUACCCUGGGAAUAGGGUAUAGAGGCCACAGACUUGUUUACCUAAGAACACCACCAAAACAUCUCUAUUUGGACUUGCUGCCUUUGGUAUCCUCUAUCUAAAAGGAUGCCAAGGUUCACGUUGUAAUUGGAUUCUCUCCAGGACUGAAGUUUCUGCCAUAACCACGCCCCGUCAAUCAAGCCUGGACUCAAUCCAACCUCCUUGCUUCCCCUCAACUCUUUUCUACUUCCUGUACUCCAAGCUAGUUGUAGGCACAGGAAGCUUGCU